AAUUUUCCCUGGUAGGGGGGACACCAUAAUCAGGCUGAUGGUGUUCCGUGGGCAAGGCUCAUCCCCUGCACUCCAGAUGUGCUAACCCCUGAGAUUUCCCCAAAUGUGGGAAACUCAACUGCAUAUUGGGGAUACUGUGGUAUUGGGGGACCGCGUUCAUGCUCUCCCCUC
ensembl:snRNA U1 U1 spliceosomal RNA